rnacentral:lncRNA from 1 species
GAAAUGUGUUUGGCUUUAAUUUAUAAAGCAUUUAGAUUUGAAGAGAUCCAGGUGCUGGCUAACUAGAAUGUCAUUUGUCUCUCUCCCUUUUUUUCAAGGUAAAAGUUUUUGGUCCGUUCAGUCCUUAUCAGCUGAAAUGCUACAGUCUGACCAGAAUAUCCCAAUUCAGAAAUGUUUUCAUAAGUAAGGAGAGCAUAAACUCCAUUGUUGUCCAUGAUGGUGUAGAAGAUCCCUUUCAGCAGCUCUUGGUCGCCACUGAUGUGGUGUCUGAUUUUAGGAGAAACAUCUUUGAUGCCUCCUAUUCAUGGCCUGCUUGCACUCCUCAGUAUGCUCUUUGCUCCUGCAAUAGAACUCAGGUAUUUGUACGUUUUAAAGUGGUGGUUUUCUUAUAAUUUUCAUUAGGAUCAUCACAUAUUUUUGUCAGAUAUUAUUUAUUUGCUUUUGGCAUUUUAUAUAUUCUCUUCCUGGUAUUCUUUUAUGAGUUUUAGUAUAGUAUGUGGGUAAAAUGUCCAUGUACUUAUGAAUUGAUGCUGCAGCCUCCUCUCACGAUAAGGCAUUACAGCUCCUGACAGCUGUGCUGGAAGCCUGGGAAGGUGGAAUAUAAACUGGGAAUACUAAAUCUACAUGAGAAGAGGAACUUCUAUAAUUUUUUGUAAAAGCUGAGCUCUGGUAGUGACAUUAAUGCUGUAUUUUCUUGAAUAUCU